GACGUAGGGCGCGAGCGUUGUCCGGAUUUAUUGGGCGUAAAGAGCUCGUAGGCGGCCUGUCGCGUCCGCUGUGAAAUCCCGGGGCUUAACCCCGGGCCUGCAGUGGAUACGGGCAGGCUGGAGGCAGGCAGGGGAGACUGGAAUUCCUGGUGUAGCGGUGAAAUGCGCAGAUAUCAGGAGGAACACCGAUGGCGAAGGCAGUUCUCUGGGCCGUAACUGACGCUGAGGAGCGAAAGCGUGGGGAGCGAACAGG
rnacentral:rRNA from 1 species